UGGAAGUUCUCCAGAUCACUCCGAUGGAAGCAAUUUUGCCAAGCUAUUUGUUGGAUCCGUUCCAAGGACAGCCACAGAAGAAAUUAUUCGCCCGUUGUUUGAAGAACAUGGAAAUGUGAUUGAAGUAGCUUUGAUAAAGGAUAAGAGAACAGGCCAGCAACAAGGAUGUUGUUUUGUAAAAUAUACUACCUCAGAAGAAGCUGAUAGAGCAAUUAGGAACUUGCACAAUCAACAUACCCUUCCUGGGGGAGCGGGCCCAAUUCAAGUUAG
rnacentral:misc_RNA from 1 species